GAUGAACGCUGGCGGCGUGCUUAACACAUGCAAGUCGAACGGAAAGGCCGCAGCUUGCUGUGGUACUCGAGUGGCGAACGGGUGAGUAACACGUGGGUGAUCUGCCCUGUACUUCGGGAUAAGCUUGGGAAACUGGGUCUAAUACCGGAUAGGAAUCACAUGUGGGUGUGUGGUUGGAAAGCUUUUGCGGUAUGGGAUGAGCUCGCGGCCUAUCAGCUUGUUGGUGGGGUAAUGGCCUACCAAGGCGUCGACGGGUAGCCGGCCUGAGAGGGUGUACGGCCACAUUGGGACUGAGAUACGGCCCAGACUCCUACGGGAGGCAGCAGUGGGGAAUAUUGCACAAUGGGCGCAAGCCUGAUGCAGCGACGCCGCGUGGGGGAUGACGGCCUUCGGGUUGUAAACUCCUUUCGUCAGGGACGAAGCGAAAGUGACGGUACCUGGAUAAGAAGCACCGGCUAACUACGUG
rnacentral:rRNA from 1 species